rnacentral:rRNA from 1 species
GACGUAGGGCGCGAGCGUUGUCCGGAUUUAUUGGGCGUAAAGAGCUCGUAGGCGGCUUGUUGCGUCGGCUGUGAAAACCCAUGGCUCAACCGUGGGCUUGCAGCCGAUACGGGCAGGCUAGAGUUCGGUAGGGGAGACUGGAAUUCCUGGUGUAGCGGUGAAAUGCGCAGAUAUCAGGAGGAGCACCGGUGGCGAAGGCGGCCCUCUGGACGGAUACUGACGCUGAGGCGCGAAAGCGUGGGGAUCAAACAGG